GAUGAACGCUGGCGGCGUGCUUAACACAUGCAAGUCGAACGAAGGUCAGAGAGCUUGCUCUCUGAUACUUAGUGGCGGACGGGUGAGUAACGCGUGGGUAACCUGCCCUAUGCAGGGGGAUAACGUUUGGAAACGAACGCUAAUACCGCAUAAACUAUGGAUGUCUGCAUGGACAUUAUAGCAAAGAUUUAUCGGCAUAGGAUGGACCCGCGUUGGAUUAGCUAGUUGGUGAGAUAACAGCUCACCAAGGCGACGAUCCAUAGCCGGCCUGAGAGGGUGAACGGCCACAUUGGGACUGAGACACGGCCCAAACUCCUACGGGAGGCUG
rnacentral:rRNA from 1 species